rnacentral:rRNA from 1 species
GAUGAACGCUGGCGGCGUGCCUAAUACAUGCCAGUCGAGCGAACAGACGAGGAGCUUGCUCCUCUGACGUUAGCGGCGGACGGGUGAGUAACACGUGGAUAACCUACCUAUAAGACUGGGAUAACUUCGGGAAACCGGAGCUAAUACCGGAUAAUAUAUUGAACCGCAUGGUUCAAUAGUGAAAGACGGUUUUGCUGUCACUUAUAGAUGGAUCCGCGCCGCAUUAACUAGUUGGUAAGGUAACGGCUUACCAAGGCAACGAUGCGUAGCCGACCUGAGAGGGUGAUCGGCCACACUGGAACUGAGACACGGUCCAGACUCCUACGGGAGGCAGCAGUAGGGAAUCUUCCGCAAUGGGCGAAAGCCUGACGGAGCAACGCCGCGUGAGUGAUGAAGGUCUUCGGAUCGUAAAACUCUGUUAUUAGGGAAGAACAAAUGUGUAAGUAACUAUGCACGUCCUGACGGUACCUAAUCAGAAAGCCACGGCUAACUACGUG